ACGGGCGGUGUGUACAAGGCCCGGGAACGUAUUCACCGCGCCAUGGCUGAUGCGCGAUUACUAGCGAAUCCAGCUUCACGAAGUCGGGUUGCAGACUUCGAUCCGAACUGAGAGAGGCUUUUGGGAUUAGCAUCCUGUCACCAGGUAGCUGCCUUCUGUACCCCCCAUUGUAACACGUGUGUAGCCCCGGACGUAAGGGCCGUGCUGAUUUGACGUCAUCCCCACCUUCCUCACAUCUUACGACGGCAGUCUCUCUAGAGUCCUCAGCAUGACCUGUUAGUAACUAAAGAUAAGGGUUGCGCUCGUUAUGGCACUUAAGCCGACACCUCACGGCACGAGCUGACGACAACCAUGCAGCACCUUCACAUUUGCCUUACGGCUAUACUGUUUCCAGUAUAUUCAAAUGCAAUUUAAGCCCGGGUAAGGUUCCUCGCGUAUCAUCGAAUUAAACCACAUGUUCCUCCGCUUGUGCGGGCCCCCGUCAAUUCCUUUGAGUUUCACCGUUGCCGGCGUACUCCCCAGGUGGAAUACUUAAUGCUUUCGCUUGGCCGCUUACUGUAUAUCGCAAACAGCGAGUAUUCAUCGUUUACUGUGUGGACUACCAGGGUAUCUAAUCCUGUUUGAUACCCACACUUUCGAGCAUCAGUGUCAGUUGCAGUCCAGUGAGCUGCCUUCGCAAUCGGAGUUCUUCGUGAUAUCUAAGCAUUUCACCGCUACACCACGAAUUCCGCCCACCUCUACUGUACUCAAGACAGCCAGUAUCAACUGCAAUUUUACGGUUGAGCCGCAAACUUUCACAACUGACUUAACUGUCCACCUACGCUCCCUUUAAACCCAAUAAAUCCGGAUAACGCUCGGAUCCUCCGUAUUACCGCGGCUGCUGGCACGGAGUUAGCCGAUCCUUAUUCAUAUGGUACAUACAAAAUUCCACACGUGGAAAACUUUAUUCCCAUAUAAAAGAAGUUUACAACCCAUAGGGCAGUCAUCCUUCACGCUACUUGGCUGGUUCAGGCCUGCGCCCAUUGACCAAUAUUCCUCACUGCUGCCUCCCGUAGGAGUUUGGACCGUGUCUCAGUUCCAAUGUGGGGGACCUUCCUCUCAGAACCCCUAUCCAUCGAAGGUUUGGUGAGCCGUUACCUCACCAACUGCCUAAUGGAACGCAUCCC
rnacentral:rRNA from 1 species